UUAGUAUUUUUUUUUUAUAUUAGUUUUAAAUUGCCAACGGUCAAAAACUGUCGCUACAUAUACUUUACGCUAGUGAUUUUUUUGUAGAAGUACCGACAGUUUAUAAAAUGUUGCUAGAGAUUAUCUUCUCCAAUGGUUAAUAAAAGUGCUGGGAAAGGGUAAUAGCAGCAAGGAUAUAGUAACGGUCAUCUAUAUAUACUUUUACCAGCACUUUUAGAACUGCUAGAGCAAAUAUUACCAGCGGUUUUUAUAAUCUUUUCCAACAGUUUUGGCUGCUGGUGUAUACCUAUAUUGUUGUAGUGUAUUACCCUAUUUAUAGAUCGUCCCUUGAUCAGUUAUUGCUCUUACACGAUCGGCCAUUAUCUCCUAAUAUCCCGGACCACCUCCAGCUGAUCGGAACCGCAUGCAACUGCUUGCGGUUACUGUAACAUCCUUCAAUUGGCGCGACGGUUUUCUUUAAAACAUUUCUGGUGCUCCUGGUGCACGGCCAGAUUGAUGCCUUUGAAGGGAAUACCGGCGUACCACCUGUCCGCGCCUAAUUGACUCAACAACUCCUAUCAUCAUUUUNCUUUUACUUCCGCUUUUCUCGUAGACGCCUUAUAUGUGUAGACAUAUGGCGGGUCUGGGCACGCUACCGGGAGGGCCUCCGCCGGUCCCGGGGCGUGACAGAGGUCGUGUAUCUUGCAUUAAUGAAAACCGGUAAUACUACAUAUUAUGUAAAAUGACAAUUUUACCCUGUAACUCUCGAAACCCUUUCAAUACGUUAUUAUUUUAAAAAAAUUAAUUUACAAUUUUGAAUUGUCAACUUUUAAUUUUUAAUUUUUAAUUUUUAAUUUUCAAAUUUUAAUUUUUUAAUUUUUAAUUUUUAAUUUUUAAAUUUCAAAUUUAAAUUUGUAUUUUAAAUUCUGAAUUUUAAAUUUAGAUUUUAAUUUUUUAUAUAAAUAUAUAUUUAUAUUUAUAUUUUAGAUUUUUUAGGAAUUUCAAAUUUAUAUUUAAAUUAAAAUAUUAAAUUUAUAUUUUUGUCAAUUUAAAAUUAAAAAUUUUAAAAAUUAAAUUAUUUAAAAUAAAAUUUGGUAAAAAAAUAUUGUUUGUAAACAGUAAAAAAAUGUUUACGAAAUAUAACUAAGGGCAAUUUUGAAAUAGACUAUAUCUUAUUGUCUAGAUUACUAAAUUUUACCGACAGAACCAAACAUAGUAACAUUAUAAAUACUACAAUCCGGUAUUAUAUUACUGUAUUAAACCAAACGCACUAAUGCAGCAUCAGUAGUAAUCUCAUGUAGAAAUCCAAGAUGCCUGGAUAUAUCGAAAUACUCUGUAAUAUAACAUAACUCAAACCAAACGCACCAUUAGAUUAAUCCCUUUGAUCAUUUCUGACCUUUAGAUUAAUAUUAUCACCCUAAGGGACCACUCAACCCUAACAGGGACCAUUGUCAUCCCGAUCCUACAAUUCUUGAUUCAAGGGUUAAAAAGUGACCAUAUAAUUUCGAAAGCAUAGUAGCUCUACACUCGUUCGAAUAAUAAUAUAUAUUAAUAUGCACAAAUGAAUAUAAAUAAAAUUAACAACAAUACAAUAAAAAUUUCACAUUUAUGUUCAAAUUUUUAUCUACCUAUAUUGGAUAGAAUAAAAUUCAAAAUUUAACAAAU
rnacentral:lncRNA from 1 species